rnacentral:rRNA from 1 species
AACGUAGGUUCCGAGCGUUAUCCGGAUUUACUGGGCGUAAAGCGCGUUCAGGCGGUUUGGUAAGUCGGGCAUGAAAUCUCUCGGCUCAACCGGGAGAGGUUGUCCGAUACUGCUGGACUUGAGGGCAGUAGAGGGUGGUGGAAUUCCGGGUGUAGUGGUGAAAUGCGUAGAUAUCCGGAGGAACACCAGUGGCGAAAGCGGCCACCUGGACUGCACCUGACGCUUACACGCGAAAGCUAGGGGAGCGAACGGG